GCUGCUUGGCCGCCGGCCGUGAAGCAGCCGCGUCCCCGCCACGGGGGCUCAGGACGAUGGCCAGGGAGUGAGGCGCAAUUUGCAAGAACUUCUCCAUCCUGCGGGGCAUCUCUGCGCCGCAGGAGGCUUAGGCGGAGACGCCGCGGCUGCUGGACACCACAAGCAGCCGCAGCAGCAGCCGCCUGGCCAUGAGCGCCCGGCACAGCACGGUGUAGCGCUGCCAAGCAGGCGCUGCUCCCUCCCAGCUCAGCCAGGACCGCCCCUGCCGGGCCGGCUGCAGGUUCAGCGCCUCUCUCUCCUCCUGCUCCGCCUUCUCCUCCCCGCUGCUCGCGUGAGACCUGCCCGUCUCCUGGCCAGUGGGAUCGCUCGCUCUGGGACCCCCGCCCGCGGCGCCUCCCGCUGUCCCCUUCCCUCCCUGGAUUCUCCAGCUGGGCCGGGCGGCCUUUGGGGAACACGACCUCUUCCAGAGGCUCUGGGCGGUAUAACAACAACUUAUGGCAACUGGAGACAGACCUCUCCAGAUGACCUCAACAAGUGAUGGGAAUCAUACCGAAGAAGGCGCUCUCGAAGAAGGUAACCUGGACCCAAGCCAUUCAGUGCUUUAAAGCGAUGCUGAGCUGGCACCACAAAGGAAUACCUGGUUUUAAGCCUGCUGUGAGCUUUACAUCUUUGGCAACUGUCUUCUCAUGCGAUUGGAUUGUCACAAUCAAACAGUACAUUUCGUUCAUGAGUGCAGGUGGUUCAUGUCUAAGCUGGACAGAAAUGUUGGGCACUCUGGAAAUGAUCCUUUGAUAAAAAGAAAAGAAAGGCAGAGAAAACUUGAACUGCAACUCUUGUAGCUGUAAUCCAAGAAGCUCUUUAGACCUGCAACAGUCAGAUCUAUUCUGACUUCUACUGCUGAAGAUUCAAGUAUCUUUCUAGUUCAAAAAUAUUCCAGAGGAAAUCAAGGACUGACAGUGCUCACAAAAGGUUCCCAUCUUUUAUCUUCUUCAUACUUUGGAUCACUAAAUGCUGUAUACACUGAAGAUCCAGAUUGAGUGUUCUGUUGGAAGUAUAGCUUUUAUUCAAUUUUCAUUUUUUUAAUGGAGCA